rnacentral:rRNA from 1 species
GAGGGAAAAGGAGCAAUCCGCUUUGAGAUGGCCUCGCGUCCGAUUAGCUAGUUGGUGAGGUAACGGCCCACCAAGGCGACGAUCGGUAGCCGGACUGAGAGGUUGAACGGCCACAUUGGGACUGAGACACGGCCCAGACUCCUACGGGAGGCAGCAGUGGGGAAUAUUGCACAAUGGGGGAAACCCUGAUGCAGCGACGCCGCGUGGAGGAAGAAGGUCUUCGGAUUGUAAACUCCUGUUGUUGAGGAAGAUAAUGACGGUACUCAACAAGGAAGUGACGGCUAACUACGUGCCAGCAGCCGCGGUAAAACGUAGGUCACAAGCGUUGUCCGGAAUUACUGGGUGUAAAGGGAGCGCAGGCGGGAAGACAAGUUGGAAGUGAAAUCCAUGGGCUCAACCCAUGAACUGCUUUCAAAACUGUUUUUCUUGAGUAGUGCAGAGGUAGGCGGAAUUCCCGGUGUAGCGGUGGAAUGCGUAGAUAUCGGGAGGAACACCAGUGGCGAAGGCGGCCUACUGGGCACCAACUGACGCUGAGGCUCGAAAGUGUGGGUAGCAAACAGGGUUAGAUACCCUGGUAGUCCACACCGUAAACAAUGAUUGCUAGGUGUUGGAGGAUUGACCCCUUCAGUGCC